rnacentral:rRNA from 1 species
GAUGAACGCUGGCGGCGUGCCUAAUACAUGCAAGUCGAGCGAACGGACGAGAAGCUUGCUUCUCUGAUGUUAGCGGCGGACGGGUGAGUAACACGUGGAUAACCUACCUAUAAGACUGGGAUAACUUCGGGAAACCGGAGCUAAUACCGGAUAAUAUUUUGAACCGCAUGGUUCAAAAGUGAAAGACGGUCUUGCUGUCACUUAUAGAUGGAUCCGCGCUGCAUUAGCUAGUUGGUAAGGUAACGGCUUACCAAGGCAACGAUGCAUAGCCGACCUGAGAGGGUGAUCGGCCACACUGGAACUGAGACACGGUCCAGACUCCUACGGGAGGCAGCAGUAGGGAAUCUUACGCAAUGGGCGAAAGCCUGACGGAGCAACGCCGCGUGAGUGAUGAAGGUCUUAGGAUCGUAAAACUCUGUUAUUAGGGAAGAACAUAUGUGUAAGUAACUGUGCACAUCUUGACGGUACCUAAUCAGAAAGCCACGGCUAACUACGUG